rnacentral:tRNA from 1 species
ACUGAAAUAGCUCAGUUGGUAGAGCGUCAGACUAUAAAUCGAAAUGUCUUUAGUUCGAUUCUCGGUUCCGGAA